rnacentral:rRNA from 1 species
GAUGAACGCUGGCGGCGUGCCUAAUACAUGCAAGUCGAGCGAACAGACGAGGAGCUUGCUCCUCUGACGUUAGCGGCGGACGGGCGAGUAACACGUGGAUAAUCUACCUAUAAGACUGGGAUAACUCCGGGAAACCGGAGCUAAUACCGGAUAAUAUAUUGAACCGCAUGGUUCAAUAGUGAAAGACGGCUCUGCUGUCACCUAUAGAUGGAUCCGCGCCGCAUUAGCUAGUUGGUAAAGUAACGGCUUAUCAAGGCAACGAUGCGUAGCCGACCUAAGAGAGUGAUCGGCCACACUGGAGCUUAGACACGGUCCAGACUCCUACAGGAAGCAGCAGUAGGAUGUCUUCCGCACAGGGCGAAAGCCUGACGGAGGAACGCCGCGUGAGUGACGAAGGUCUUCGGAUCGUAAAACUCUGUUAUUAGGGAAGAACAAGUGUGUAAGUGACUAUACACGUCUUGACGGUACCUAAUCAGAGAGCCACGGCUAACUACGUG